rnacentral:lncRNA from 1 species
GGGGGGGGGGGUGCCUGGAGGUUGAAUAAACUUCUCCGCCCUCUACCUGCUGACCACCGCAGACACUCCUGGAGAGUGCAGCGGCAUCCAGAAGCAAAGCUUGCAUUCUCUUGCCAAGUGACUUCCUAACUUCACUGAAAAGCGCUCACUUUUUCAGCUCGCAAAAACUCUUCAAGGACAACGGUAUCGUGAACAUCAGUGCAGCAGUUCUGGUCACCUGGAUUUAUAAACACCAAGAAGUAGCAACAGCCAGUGUGCAAGUCACUGACAACCCAAGUCACCAAAAAUCUUACUGAGAACCCAUUAGCUCCUUGAAUUAAAGAUUAUUUUGUGAAAAGAGGCUUGAUCGUCUUGUUCUGCACCUGAAAUAAAGCAUUUCCCAUUCUGUUGUUUUAAAAUAUUUACUCUGUAACAAGUGUACAUAAUUUUGUUUUUAUAAUAAAAAAGUAGUGAUACCAAAA